GAAAUGCGAUAAGUAAUGUGAAUUGCAGAAUUCAGUGAAUCAUCGAAUCUUUGAACGCACAUUGCGCCCGCCAGUAUUCUGGCGGGCAUGCCUGUUCGAGCGUCAUUUCAACCAUCAAGCCCCGUGCUUGUGUUGGGGACCUGCGGCUGCCCGCAGGCCCUGAAAUGGAGUGGCGGGCUCGCUAGUCACACCGAGCGUAGUAGCAACUUUUUGUCUCGCUCAGGGCGUGCUGCGGGUUCCGGCCGUAAAACAGCCUUUUAUCUCAUACCCAAGGUUGACCUCGGAUCAGGUAGGAAGACCCGCUGAACUUAA
rnacentral:misc_RNA from 1 species